rnacentral:rRNA from 1 species
UACGUAGGGGGCAAGCGUUGUCCGGAUUUAUUGGGCGUAAAGAGCGUGUAGGCGGCCAGGUAGGUCCGUUGUGAAAACUCGAGGCUCAACCUCGAGACGUCGGCGGAAACCCUCUGGCUAGAGUCCGGAAGAGGAGAGUGGAAUUCCUGGUGUAGCGGUGAAAUGCGCAGAUAUCAGGAAGAACACCCGUGGCGAAGGCGGUUCUCUGGGACGGUACUGACGCUGAGACGCGAAAGCGUGGGGAGCGAACAGG